UUCCUGCUCCCUCCGUUCAAUAAAAAAUGUCUUAACUUUGUCAAAAUUUGGAUGUAUCUAAACAUGACUUAGUAUAUAUAAAUACAUUCAAAUUUAGCGAAAGUUGAGACAUUUUUUGUUGGACGGAUACAAU
rnacentral:pre_miRNA from 1 species